rnacentral:lncRNA from 1 species
GAGAGAGAGAGCUCUGUGUCUGUGUCUCUGUGUGGAUUUUGCAGAUUCACCGUGGAGUGUGGUGAGGUUUUCAUGGUGGUGAGAUGAAAAAUAGAGAGAGAACCGACAUAGCUUUUUGUGUCGGUUCCCACAGACGGUGCCAAAUGUUGAUGCACAAAACCAGAGGUCUUGGAACAACAUAAACCCGACCGUGAAUCUGCAAGAAAUGUAAAGAACACAAGAUGUAUCGUGGUUCACCCCAAUGUUUGGGCUACGUUCACACUGAUAUUGUAUUUCUCUGUUUGUGAGAGGAUUGUGAGGGUGAGAGCUUUGUAUGUGAGGAUGAAGGCUUCUCUUAGGGGAUGUGAGGCCUCUCCCAUUGUGAGGGUGAGGAGUCCCUUUUAUAGAAUAAGGGCUCCUCACUUAUUACAUAUUUUCCCCUUCAUUUAUUACAUAAUUAUAUUUGAGUCCCCCGAGUAUUUAUACGAGGUCUAAAUACGGAGGCCCUAAGUAUGGUACAAACAAGUACAUGACUAUGUGAAACUAUGAAACUGUAUCAAUUGCUUUCUUGGGCAAUGAUGAGUCGAUAUUAUACUAUAUAUUUUAUUCUUUUCUUAGUUAUAAUUAAUUGGUGCUUUUGCUUAAAUUUUGAUACUUUGAUUCAUAUUCUUAACGUAGGACAUGCGACUCCUUCUUGAGAAAAAAAUAAUCAAACGUAUGGAUAAUUUUGGAGUGAUUCUAAUUAGAAGAUGUUUGCGAGUCUUUCAACUUGUUCGUGUCAAAGUUUCACAUUUUUCUGUCAAGCGGUUAAUUUAUGGUGAUGAAAUAAAGGACUAGCGUGCGAAGUUGUCAAAGUAACGUUUUGGGCUUUUUGGCAUCCAAGAUGGUGUCUUUUGCUAUUGGGUUCUUCUUGGAACUUGGAGAGGACAUUCGAAGCUUUAAUUCAAGUAGUUUUGGACCUGAUUUGAAGCCUUGAAGAUCCAUAAACGUGGCUGUUUAGUGGCUGGACAGAUUUCCCAUUAUUGAUUAGGAUUAUGUUUCCUAGUUUCUCUUAAUUUAUUAUGUUUUCUAGUUUUAAGAAGACCUUUUAUAGGAAUAAUUUUAUUUUAUAGUAAUAUAAAUAAGGCUUAUUAGCCAUUAGCGUUCUCUACGCACUACUUUGGAGAAUUUGGCUUAGAGAGCUUUUGACGAUUCAAGUUUAUUUACAAGGUGUUUUCUACCCAUGUUCUUAAUAAUAUUUUUCUUUAUGAUUGUGUGUAACUAAUCUCUUUUGCUAGGGUGAUGCCAUGAGCCUUAUCAAGAAUAUGUAGUUUCUUUUCAAUUUACUUGUGAUAAGCAUGCAUGUUUUGAAUGAUUUAUUACUGUGUUGAAAAUGUCUAAUUGUCUUGAUGCUUGAUCACCAUUAAGAUAUUUAAAAAAGUAAUUUGAUGCAAUUUUGAUCAGAUGAUUGUCCUGGAAAUUGACGAAGGCUUCUUGUGGUUAAUAAUUGUAAUUUCACUUAGGAUGACUACCACGUCUUACAGGUUGCAUGAUUUUUGAACGGGUUUUCAGAAAGAUUAAUGAAUCUUGUAUGUUUAUAUUUGACCUAAAUAUCACAGACAUAUUGCAUGUUUGAUAUACGUUCUUGACACGCCUCGAUCCCGAUGUCCGAAGGACAACAGGAUGACCACGUGCUGGCCGACACCCGAGGGUGACGCAAGCCAUUUAAUGAAUGAAUAUGCCGAGAACAUGUGAAACAUGCAUAUAAAUUUCACACAUAACUACGCAAUGUAAUAUUCAAAUACAAACUUAACAAAAUAAUAUAAUAAUAUCAGUCGUCAAUAAAAUGAUAGUGAUAAUGCAUGACAUGUUCAGAGCAUACAUCUAAUUAGGAAUACAAGCGGAAGGUGCUAUUACAAGUGAUGUUAAGCAGAGAGGAUGACAUGAUAUCACUGGUAGGGGAAUGCAUCGUAACUCGGAUCGUAUGCCUUGUUCCUAUGUCCUGAGGAGGUGCAAAACAAACAUGAGUGGAUCAAGUUGAUAUAUAUGUAAUAUGGAAAUAGUUAUUCAACAACAUACUAACCCCCAAAGUUUAUGAAAAUUAAUAGCAUAAUAUGUGAUAGAUUUUCCGAAAACCCUAGCAUGCCAUAAAACCUUUCGUAAAACACAUAUCGUAUAUAGUGUGCUAGCUAGUGGUAUCAAGUCACCCGAAGGCUCUCCAUCACUCUCUUGUAGGUAGGACAUACACCCGUAGGCAGAACA